rnacentral:tRNA from 1 species
GCGGGCGUGGCGGAAUUGGCAGACGCGCCAGACUUAGGAUCUGGUGGUUAUCCGUGCAGGUUCAAGUCCUGUCGCCCGCACCA